rnacentral:rRNA from 1 species
AGGACGAACGCUGGCGGCGUGCCUAACACAUGCAAGUCGAGCGGGGACAUGGAAGUAGCAAUACGGAAAUGUCUAGCGGCGGACGGGUGGGUAACGCGUGAGCAACCUGUCCCAGUCAGGGGGAUAACGAGCCGAAAGGCUCCCUAAUACCGCAUGAGACCACAGCAUCACAUGGUGCAGGGGUCAAAGGAGAGAUCCGGACUGGGGUGGGCUCGCGUCUGAUUAGCUAGUUGGUGAGGUAAAGGCCCACCAAGGCGACGAUCAGUAGCCGACCUGAGAGGGUGAUCGGCCACAUUGGAACUGAGACACGGUCCAAACUCCUACGGGAGGCAGCAGUGGGGAAUAUUGGGCAAUGGGGGAAACCCUGACCCAGCAACGCCGCGUGAAGGAAGAAGGUCUUCGGAUCGUAAACUUCUAUCCUUGGUGAAGAUAAUGACGGUAGCCGAGAAGGAAGCCCCGGCUAACUACGUGCCAGCAGCCGC